ACUUAUAUUCUGUAGCAAGGUUAACCGAAUAGGGGAGCCGGAGGGAAACCGAGUCUUAAUUGGGCGUUAAGUUGCAGGGUAUAGACCCGAAACCCGGUGAUCUAGCCAUGGGCAGGUUGAAGGUUGGGUAACACUAACUGGAGGACCGAACCGACUAAUGUUGAAAAAUUAGCGGAUGACCUGUGGCUGGGGGUGAAAGGCCAAUCAAACCGGGAGAUAGCUGGUUCUCCCCGAAAGCUAUUUAGGUAGCGCCUCGUGAAUUCAUCUCCGGGGGUAGAGCACUGUUUCGGCUAGGGGGCCAUCCCGGCUUACCAACCCGAUGCAAACUGCGAAUACCGGAGAAUGUUAUCACGGGAGACACACGGCGGGUGCUAACGUCCGUCGUGAAGAGGGAAACAACCCAGACCGCCAGCUAAGGUCCCAAAGUCAUAGUUAAGUGGGAAACGAUGUGGGAAGGCCCAGACAGCCAGGAUGUUGGCUUAGAAGCAGCCAUCAUUUAAAGAAAGCGUAAUAGCUCACUGGUCGAGUCGGCCUGCGCGGAAGAUGUAACGGGGCUAAACUAUGCACCGAAGCUGCGGCAGCGACACUAUGUGUUGUUGGGUAGGGGAGCGUUCUGUAAGCCUGUGAAGGUGUGUCGUGAGGCAUGCUGGAGGUAUCAGAAGUGCGAAUGCUGACAUAAGUAACGAUAAAGCGGGUGAAAAGCCCGCUCGCCGGAAGACCAAGGGUUCCUGUCCAACGUUAAUCGGGGCAGGGUGAGUCGACCCCUAAGGCGAGGCCGAAAGGCGUAGUCGAUGGGAAACGGGUUAAUAUUCCCGUACUUGGUGUUACUGCGAAGGGGGGACGGAGAAGGCUAUGUUGGCCGGGCGACGGUUGUCCCGGUUUAAGCGUGUAGGUGUGUGUUCCAGGUAAAUCCGGUUCACUUUAACACUGAGGCGUGAUGACGAGGCACUACGGUGCUGAAGCAACAAAUGCCCUGCUUCCAGGAAAAGCCUCUAAGCAUCAGGUAACAUCAAAUCGUACCCCAAACCGACACAGGUGGUCAGGUAGAGAAUACCAAGGCGCUUGAGAGAACUCGGGUGAAGGAACUAGGCAAAAUGGUGCCGUAACUUCGGGAGAAGGCACGCUGACACGUAGGUGAAGUGAUUUACUCAUGGAGCUGAAGUCAGUCGAAGAUACCAGCUGGCUGCAACUGUUUAUUAAAAACACAGCACUGUGCAAACACGAAAGUGGACGUAUACGGUGUGACGCCUGCCCGGUGCCGGAAGGUUAAUUGAUGGGGUCAGCGCAAGCGAAGCUCCUGAUCGAAGCCCCGGUAAACGGCGGCCGUAACUAUAACGGUCCUAAGGUAGCGAAAUUCCUUGUCGGGUAAGUUCCGACCUGCACGAAUGGCGUAAUGAUGGCCAGGCUGUCUCCACCCGAGACUCAGUGAAAUUGAACUCGCUGUGAAGAUGCAGUGUACCCGCGGCAAGACGGAAAGACCCCGUGAACCUUUACUAUAGCUUGACACUGAACAUUGAGCCUUGAUGUGUAG
rnacentral:rRNA from 1 species